rnacentral:rRNA from 1 species
GAUGAACGCUGGCGGCGUGCCUAAUACAUGCAAGUCGAGCGGACGGACGAGAAUCUUGUUUCUCUCAUGUUAGCGGCGGGCGGGUGAGUAACGCGUGGAUCACCUCCCUAUCAUACUGGGAUAACUUCGGGACACCGGCGCUAAUACCGGAUGAUAUUUUGAACCGCAUGGUUCGUUAGUGAAAGUCGGUCUUGCUGGCACUUAUAGCUGCAUCCGCGCUGCAUUAGCUGGUUGGUAAGGUAACGGCUUACGAAGGCGACGAUGCAUGGCCGACCGGACAGAGGGAUCGGCGACACGGGAACGGAGACACGGUCAAGACGACUGAGGGAGGCAGCAGUAGGGAAUCGGCCGCAAUGGGCGAAAGUCUGACGGAGCAACGGCGAGUGAGAGAUGAAGAUCUCCGGAGCGUAAAACUGUGUUAUGAGUGAUGAACAGACGUGUAAGGAACUGUGCAGAUCGUGACGGUACCGAGUCAGAAAGCCACGGCUAACUACGUG